rnacentral:rRNA from 1 species
UACGAAGGGGGCUAGCGUUGCUCGGAAUCACUGGGCGUAAAGCGUGCGCAGGCGGUUCGUUGUGUCGGCGGUGAAAGCCCCGGGCUCAACCUGGGAAUGGCCGUUGAAACUGGCGAACUGGAGUGUGGCAGAGGGGGGCGUGGAAUUCCGGGUGGAGCGGUGAAAUGCGUAGAGAUCCGGAGGAACACCGACGGCGUAGGCAGCGCCCUGGCUGUGAAUAAAGCUGACACUGAGGCACGAAAGCUGGGGGAGCAAACAGG